GAUGAACGCUAGCGGCGGGCCUAAUACAUGCAAGUCGAACGGGAAAGGUGGCAACACCUUGUGAGUGGCGUACGGGUGCGUAACGAGUAUAUAACCUACCUGUUACACGGGGAUAGCCUUGCGAAAGCGAGUUUAAUACCUGCUGGUACUAUUGAGCGGCAUCGCUUGGUAGUUAAAGCUGAGGCGGUAACAGAGGAGUAUGCGUCCCAUUAGCUAGUUGGUAGUGUAACGGACUACCAAGGCGACGAUGGGUAGGGGUUCUGAGAGGAUGAUCCCCCAAUCUGGUACUGAGAUACGGACCAGACACCUACGAGAGGCAGCAGGAGGGAAUAUUGGGCAAUGGACGGAAGUCUGACCCAGCCACGCCGCGUGCAGGAAGAAGGUCCGCUGGAUUGUAAACUGCUUUUCUUGGGGAAGAAAACCCUUCUGCGGAAGGAAUUGACGGUAGUCAAGGAAUAAGCAUCGGCUAACUCCGUG
rnacentral:rRNA from 1 species